UAGGGAAUCUUCGGCAAUGGGGGGAACCCUGACCGAGCAACGCCGCGUGAGUGAAGAAGGUUUUCGGAUCGUAAAGCUCUGUUGUUAAGGAAGAACGAGUGUGAGAAUGGAAAGUUCAUACUGUGACGGUACUUAACCAGAAAGGGACGGCUAACUACGUGCCAGCAGCCGCGGUAAUACGUAGGUCCCGAGCGUUGUCCGGAUUUAUUGGGCGUAAAGCGAGCGCAGGCGGUUAGAUAAGUCUGAAGUUAAAGGCAGUGGCUCAACCAUUGUAGGCUUUGGAAACUGUUUAACUUGAGUGCAGAAGGGGAGAGUGGAAUUCCGUGUGUAGCGGAGAAAUGCGUAGAUAUAUGGAGGAACACCGGUGGCGAAAGCGGCUCUCUGGUCUGUAUCUGACGCUGAGGCUCGAAAGCGUGGGGAGCGAACAGG
rnacentral:rRNA from 1 species